rnacentral:ncRNA from 2 species
GGUCACGAGCACCAGCACGCAGGCCCGGCUCGCUGGUCGGCAACCCCCAGUCACGGCGGGGUGCCCCGGGACAGACCUGGCUCACCCCGCGGGGCAGAGCAAGCGUGAUCC